rnacentral:rRNA from 1 species
CCUACGGGAGGCAGCAGUGAGGAAUAUUGGUCAAUGGGCGUAAGCCUGAACCAGCCAAGUCGCGUGAGGGAUGAAGGUUCUAUGGAUCGUAAACCUCUUUUAUAAGGGAAUAAAGUGUGGGACGUGUCCUAUUUUGUAUGUACCUUAUGAAUAAGGAUCGGCUAACUCCGUGCCAGCAGCCGCGGUAAUACGUAGGGGGCAAGCGUUAUCCGGAUUUACUGGGUGUAAAGGGAGCGUAGACGGUAUGGCAAGUCUGAAGUGAAAGCCCAGGGCUUAACCCUGGGACUGCUUUGGAAACUGUUAGACUAGAGUGCUGGAGAGGUAAGUGGAAUUCCUAGUGUAGCGGUGAAAUGCUUAGAUAUCACGCAGAACCCCGAUUGCGAAGGCAGCCUGCCAAGCCAUGACUGACGCUGAUGCACGAAAGCGUGGGGAUCAAACAGGAUUAGAUACCCUUGUAGUC